rnacentral:rRNA from 1 species
GGGCGCACGCGCGCUACACUGACGGAGACAACGAGUAUUCACCUUGGCCGUAAGGUCUGGGUAAUCUUUUGAAACUCUGUCGUGAUGGGGAUUGUCCAUUGCAAUUAUUGGACAUGAACGAGGAAUUCCUAGUAAGUGCAAGUCAUCAGCUUGCGUUGAUUACGUCCCUGCCCUUUGUACACACCGCCCGUCGCUACUACCGAUUGAAUGGCUUAGUGAGACCUCCGGAUUGAGUUGUAGGGGCUUCGCGGCCCUCACUUUUCGAGAAGUUGGUCAAACUUGGUCAUUUAGAGGAAGUAAAAGUCGUAACAAGGUAACCGUAGGUGAACCUGCGGUUGGAUCAUUACAAAACUGUGAUUGUGGUUCUCUGCUUUGGAGACCACGAAUCCAAACACCGUGUGAAUUGUAUUUGUACUUGGCAAGUUAUGCAUGCUUAUUUGCUGGAUUCGGCUAUGAGUCUAAGCGGGAGUAUAAGCCUGUGCAGAGUUUCAAUAUGGCGCGAGCUCGCCUUGUUGAAAGCUUGCCACUGAUUUUAACCAUUGUCUUUUAUUGCGUCUGACCAAUUGAAAUACAACGAAAUUUUGUUAAACAACUUUUGGCAACGGAUCUCUUGGCUCUCGCAACGAUGAAGAACGCAGCGAAAUGCGAUACGUAUCAUGAAUUGCAGAACUCUGAAUGAUAAAUGUUUGAACGCAUAUUGCGCCAGCUUCUGGUUGGCAUGUCUGUCUGAGAAUCUUAAAGUUUCUCUCCAAACAAACGUGUUUUGGUUGGGGGCUAUUGACGGUUUCCAUUUGUAAUGGACUGUUGAAAAGGAGAAACUACUUUCCAUCCUAGUGUUUUAUAGGAGGUAAAGGUGCUUUUGACAAACUCAAAGACACGUGCCACCUUAUUACAAAACACAGAACACAACUUGGUCUCAGAUCAGACAGGAGGACCCGCUGAACUUAAGCAUAUCAAUAAGCGGAGGAAAAGAAACUAACAAGGAUUCCCUCAGUAACGGCGAGUGAAGUGGGAAUAGCUCAAAUUUUAAAUCUGCCCUCUGGGGUCGAAUUGUAGUUUCGAGAAGUGUUUUCGGAUCUGGGGCAGGUCAAAGUCCUCAGGAUUUGGGCAUCACAGAGGGUGACAAUCCCGUGAAUGGCCUACUGCCGGGUCCAUGUGAUACACUUUCAAAGAGUCAGGUUGUUUGGGAAUGCAGCCUAAAAUGGGUGGUAAAUACCAUCUAAAGCUAAAUAAUGGCGAGAGACCGAUAGCGAACAAGUACCGUGAGGGAAAGAUGAAAAGAACUUUGAAAAGAGAGUUAAAAAGUGCUUGAAAUUGUCAAAAGGGAAGCGCUCAACGCCAGUGAUGACGGCUGGAAUCAGCAGUUCUUUGAAUUGUGCACUUCCAGCCUUCAAGUCAACAUCAGUUUGGUUUGCGGGAUAAGGACCAAGGGAGGCACCUAGUGCAAUCUUGGCUGAUACCGUGGGCUAGACUGAGGUCUGCUUAUAGGAUGUUGACGAAAUGGUUUUGAACGUCCCGUCUUGAAACACGGACCAAGGAGUCUAACACAUACGCGAGUGUUUGGGUGUCAAACCCUUACGCGGAAUGAAAGUGAAUUGUGAGAUAUUUGCAUCACAAACCGGUCUGGAUUUUCUUGAUAGAUCUGAGUAAGAGCGUAUUUGUUGGGACCCGAAAGAUGGUGAACUAUGCCUGAAUAGGUUCAAGUAAGGCGAAAGUCUUAUGGAGGACCGCAGCGAUUCUGACGUGCAAAUCGAUCGUCAAAUUUGGGUAUAGGGGCGAAAGACUAAUCGAACC